UCAGGAUGAACGCCGGCGGUGUGCCUAAUACAUGCAAGUCGAACGCUGUGUGCCCAAUUGAUUGAUGGUGCUUGCACCUGAUCGAUUUUGGUCGCCAACGAGUGGCGGACGGGUGAGUAACACGUAGGUAACCUGCCCAGAAGCGGGGGACAACAUUUGGAAACAGAUGCUAAUACCGCAUAACAACGUUGUUCGCAUGAGCAACGCUUAAAAGAUGGCUUCUCGCUAUCACUUCUGGAUGGACCUGCGGUGCAUUAGCUUGUUGGUGGGGUAACGGCCUACCAAGGCGAUGAUGCAUAGCCGAGUUGAGAGACUGAUCGGCCACAAUGGGACUGAGACACGGCCCAUACUCCUACGGGAGGCAGCAGUAGGGAAUCUUCCACAAUGGGCGCAAGCCUGAUGGAGCAACACCGCGUGAGUGAAGAAGGGUUUCGGCUCGUAAAGCUCUGUUGUUAAAGAAGAACACGUAUGAGAGUAACUGUUCAUACGUUGACGGUAUUUAACCAGAAAGUCACGGCUAACUACGUGCCAGCAGCCGCGGUAAUACGUAGGUGGCAAGCGUUAUCCGGAUUUAUUGGGCGUAAAGAGAGUGCAGGCGGUUUUCUAAGUCUGAUGUGAAAGCCUUCGGCUUAACCGGAGAAGUGCAUCGGAAACUGGAUAACUUGAGUGCAGAAGAGGGUAGUGGAAC
rnacentral:rRNA from 2 species